ACUAAAUGCAUUGAUGUGGAAAAAAAAAGAACUAAAAAUCUGUUGAAGAAGGUGAACCAACCAAACAAAAUUUGGAAUUCUCAAAAUGCUCCGAGCAUGGAAAUUCCUUGUGAAGAUCCUUGCGCUGAUUUAUUCUUGAUUUACAAAAUCAGGUGUUUUUACACCCAGUGAUGACCUGGCAAAUGAGUUACCUGCAGCCUUAGAGGUAAGUGGUGAAAAACUUUAGAGGAUGUCCCUGGAAGAAAGUUACAGGGAGUUCAUGAAAUCUGGAGUGGCUGAUAUGGUUAGCACCGGUAGUUGCCGAGGUGGUUCCAUGAUUACAGCUCUUUUCUUGAAGUAGGUAUAGCUCCCCCCACCGCCACAACCUUUCUUUCUUGUUGAAUCAGCAUUUUGACAAUAUUAAGUUUGUUUUACCUUAUGUGCAUUUGGUGCAUACUAAAUUAGCUUUUUACUGAACCAUUUUGAAAAUUGCGGAAUAGUUGUAAAUCUAAUGGCCUAAUUUGUAGUUUGGAAUGGUUAUAAUAGCAAGUAGGUUGAUUUCAAAUGUAGAAAAUUGGCAAUUUGGAAGGGGGCUUCAAAUGUUGGACCGAUGGGGCUUAUUUCUGAUGGCAAAAAACAAAAAACAAAAUGUUCCUAUUGUCAGAAGAAAUCGCCUAUUUGUAUUGGCUAAGUUCACAAACUGGAGAUACAUGGGUCGUUGUGGGAGUUUAGUUUAUGUCUAUGUCUGAGCAUAGAUUACGUUAGUGUCGCAAUGAUUGUUGCUCACUUGAAGGCAUUUGUGUCAAAUUUGAAUUGAGAGAGGUGAUAAAUUAGUAGCAAACUAACACUCCAAAUGGUGAAAGAAUCACCCGCACUCUAUCUCGAUUGGAUUAAUAAGGGAUUUUUUUUUUAUGGACCAUUGUCUCACACAGUUGCCUCUCUUGAAAAGCUUGGCAGCAUUCAACUCUCUCUUGUGUCCUCUAAUUUUCUUCUACAUCAUUCUUCUUCUUCGAACACACCUAGCAGAAAUGGACUCUCUUAUUUAUCCUUCUACAGAUUUCAUCCAACCUGCGGUAGAAGCUAGUAUUGACAUUAAAAUAUACCCAUUUUCUUAAAAGUCUAUUUACACUUCUAUUACAGCCAAUCCAAUUUUGAAAUCUCUCUGCAACUCUCCAAAAUUGGCCUACGAAAAUUUUGAGAAUCUGAAAAAAUCGAGACCACCAUUUUCGUGUUGUCUACAAAUUGAAUGUCGAGGCAAUUAGUUUCAACAUAAGUUGCUUCUCGACCGCAAGGCCAAGGGAUGCAUCGCCGCGAUAAAGACAAAGGCAACAAAUUCACCACCGAGGACAUCAUGCAUACCGUUGAUUAGUUUGGUAAUUAUCGACUACUUUGGAAUCUUUGAGUUUGUUGUUGUUGUUUUUGACAUUACAUAUUGCAUCUUAGUUACGGUAAGAGAGAAACUAUGUUUGUGCUCCUAUUUUUUUGGUAUUUUGAUGGAUUGAUGGAUUUUGAUUUUAAUUUUGUUAUAUUCAAUGGUGAUGGUUGCAAAUCUUGAUAUUGAAUUAAUUAGUAUAAUCUGUGUGCUCGCUUCUAUAAUUAUUACUUAAGAUUUUGUGGUAAUUAAAAAUCUCAUUAUUGGGUUAGGAUUGGGUAAUCGUGUCAUAUUUUGGCAAAUGAUUUGAUUAACUUUGUGAAUAAGUGGUUGUGCUUAACAUUUGUAUUGAGUAUUACUUAACAAAUUGUUGAAAUAUUAACUUUUUGGUCGUGAUAAUGUAAUAUUAAAAUCGUUUUAGGUUAAUUACUGAUGUCAAUAGUGGAAUGAAUGUUAUUUAUGAAUUUGUUCUUGGAAAAAAAUUUGAUGGAAUUACAAAUUGAAAUAUAUUGGUACUAGCUGGAGUUUAUACUAGAGAGAAACUUUGACUAAUAUAUUUAAUGAAUUGGAAUUGAUUUUCAUAAAAUAUUGUUUGUUCGAUGAAUCUUCGAACUUGAGAUUGUUUUGCACAUUUUGUGUUUAUGAUAAUUAAAUAUCAACCAUAGCUUCUCUUCGAACUUGUACAUGAGGAGUUACAUAUGACAUGUCAAAAAGAGAAUAAGAAUGUUUUUUUUGACGAAAUUCGGACCAAAUGAUAUCUAGCCACAACAUGUGUACGUAAAUCAUUAUGUAAAUCGCUAGAUACAUUCUUUUGCACACUAGUAGUACCAACGAUUUUGUAAUCAUCACUUUUAUGGUGCAGUUAUGUUUUACUCUAUGUGAUUGUGACCUUGCAUUUUACAUUUCCGGUGUCAGAAGUGCUUUUAGAUUCAAGAUUUUGCUAAAGCAAAGAUUAUGUGCCAUUUUAUUAUUGAAUUUAAAAUUAGCAGAUUGUUCCAUAAAACUCGUAUGCAAUAAGUCGUUUGAGAAAACAUUUGAAUUAAUAAUAAUUCAGUAUGAUUAACAAAAUUUUGUCAGCAAUAUGAGUAUUCGAUAAACAAUCAUCUAUUUUCUUCAAAAAUUUAUAGCACAUCAAUUGCUCUAUUUAUUUCAUUUGGUAAAUGGCACCUUUAGAGUGUCAUCUCCCAACAUAAAUUAUCUCCAAUAACUGUCCGAACAUCCACAUGUUUUUUAUACCCUCAAGUGAUGAGGUAUGUCGAUUCGAGAUGUGCUUUAGUUUAGGGUGCACGAUUUUGUUAUCUUUUCCCCUCAAUUCUUUUAUCUACAGAAAGUCUUAGGCCAAUAUUUAUGUUGGGCUUGAUUGAAUUCUUUCUCAGUUUAGGAAUUUUUCAUUUUGCACUUGUAAAGAUUAUUUGGGCUUAAAAGUUUGAGCUGUGUUUCAUUUGCGUAUCCUUGUGAUUGAACAGAAAAUAUUGUACAGUAAUAACAUUCUAUUGCUUCAGUAAUAUUUUUUGCACUCAUGUUUCAUUUUGAAUUGGAGUAUAUUGGUCAUAGGUGGCUCUUGGAGGAGUGGUUCAUUCAUUGUGCUUGCAAUUGUUCUCUUUGGUAAUUAUGUCAUUUUUAUUUUCUCAUGUGUUUUUGUCCCCAUUUGUUCUGAUUCAGUGGCUUUGAUUUUGCCUAAAAAAGGGCAAAGGAAGCUUCUAAUGCUCAAUGAUGAUUCUUUUUUUUUUCAUUUCUCAUAGUUUUUUAAUAUUUCUUUAUCUUUUAUUCUUUUGUGUUUUGUUUCGUUGAUUUUGAAGAUAAAAUGUUCCCUACAAUUUAAGGAUAUAAGUAAAACAUGCAGAAAUGAAAAUUUUGAUCAUAAUCUUAUUUUCAUGAAUGGUGUAUUAGUUGAGGGGUGUAUGAUUGUAGCUUGAAAUAGCAAAUUAACGUUAUUGAAUAACAUAUGGAUAAUUUCGAUAUCUUAAUUUAAUCCACUUUGAUGAGCUAACUAUUUUGAUGUAAUACCAAAAUCAUUAUUGUAUAGAUUUUAUUAGUUUAUGAUGCGCUUGUUGAAAGCAUUUUGUAGAUUCUUUCAUGCCUUUUUUCAGGGUGCAACUUGUGUUUCAACACUCAAUUUGGAAAGUAAUUGAUCUAAAAAGUUAAUGGCAAAAUAUUAGUGCUGAAAGGAGUAGUAAAAAAUGAAAGUCAGAGCAUGAAUGGCAACCUUGUCUACUUUAGAAUGUCAAAUGCGGAUUGAAAUUGUACAAGCUAGAAAAAUAGGUAUGCUUAUAGUCUUCCAUAAAAGCAAUCAAAAAUUGCAUGAUUUUUCUAAUCCUGACUAUGGGAUUGUAUUGGCAUAUUUAAUAUAGCUGAAUUGAUCUUUGGCUUAGUAUAAUGCUUUUGACAUAUGUCUGUUGUUCGCAUCUCUCACCCUUGUUUGAUGUCAAUAACGUUCAAGUGAUCAAUUCUAGACGUGAUGCUUCAAACUUUUCGAGUUCAGGUCAUCACUCGGAGAACAUCCGUAACCACUCCAUUUAGAGCCUCCAUUUCGAUUUCCCAGGUGAGGAUGACACUUUCUUCCAUUUCUUUUUGGGUUAGACACAAUUGAUUAACAUACAUUUCUACUAGUUUUGAACCUAUGCUAGUUAUGGUCAAUUAUGCACACAUAAGCACGUCCAUUACACAUUUCUUAUUAUGUUCGUCAUAUAACCCGACCCUUUUUGCCUCAAAAAAUUAAUACACCUGUACAGUCGGUUUUAGUGACUCAUGCAACGCAUUGGGUGUGGUUCAAAUGAUGCUUCACAUAAGAAUUACACGCUCAUGGUGGUAUACAUGUCAAAAUUAUAUUGUUUCUGUAUUCACUUUAGUUGCCCAGCUCACUUUAGCAGGCAGAUAAAAUCGAGGCGAACUGUCGUUCUCGACAGUUAACCUCAGCCAUUCUUGACAAUUGGCCUUUCCAAUCAUUUGUGGAGAUUAACCGUCGAUAUCGACAGAUGAACUGUCCAUACCUACGGUUGAUGCCAGUUUUGUACCCUUGCAAAUACCUUCAAUUUGUUUAUCAUCCGUGCCGACAUCUGUACCCUUGCACAUACCUUCAUUUUGUUUACACAAUCUUAAUUUGAAUGUUUUGAUGCGAUGAAAUUGUCAUUAUUGGUGAUGUUGCUCGAUAUUAAGAGAAUUUUGUAGUUGAAUGGAACUUUCACUUAUUUAAUACUCUUCACUUAUCUUUCUAGCUUCAUCACUUUCGUAUGUUAUAUGUUAGACUUUUCAUUGUUCAAGGCUUACAUUUUAUCUUGUUAUCAUACAAAGUAGACAUUGAAAUCAUGUCCAAUACCAUGUUGGAACCAAUCGAUGUCCCUGUCAAAUAAAGAGCGACGUUGACAAUGUUCCACUUCGGGUGACUGCGGAGAAUGCAUUGAGGAAUAUUUUGUUUUACAUCAUUGUAUAUUUGUUUUUUGGGAAAUGUUGGUUAUGUUCAAGUGACAUUCAUUGUCAAAGAAACUGUUUGGAUUUAGUACGGAAAAUGUUGGUACAAAAACUGUUUCUGGCGUACUUUGUAAGUUUCUUUCUUUUUGAACUCGUUUGACCUAGAG
rnacentral:lncRNA from 1 species